rnacentral:rRNA from 1 species
GACGAACGCUGGCGGCGUGCCUAAUACAUGCAAGUAGGACGCAGUUGCGAACGGGUGAGUCACGCGUAGGUAACUGCCUAUUAGAGGGGGAUAACUAUUGGAAACGAUAGCUAAUACCGCAUACUAGUAGCUGGACCUGCGUUGUAUUAGCUAGUAGGUAGGGUAAUGGGCUACCCAGGCGACGAUACAUAGCCGACCUGGGAGGGUGAUCGGCCAAACUGGGACUGGGACACGGCCCAGACUCCUACGGGAGGCAGCAGUAGGGAAGUUUCGGCAAUGGGGGGAACCCUGACCGAGCAACGCCGCGGGGGUGAAGAAGGUUUUCGGAUCGUAAAGCUCUGUUGUUAAGGAAGCGGUACUUAACCAGAAAGGGACGGCUAACUACGUGCCAGCAGCCGCGGUAAUAC